GAGGAAAAGGAGCUACAGGAAGCAAUGGGUGUUCCUGGAGCAGCGUAAGACUUUCAGACAAGUGUCCUGUAGGAAAUAGCUACGCCCGGGUUAGGGGAAAGGGAUGACUGACGUGCGGCUGUAGGAGGUUAGGCAGAAGAAAUAAAGCUGAAGCCCUGAGAAAAGGGCCUGAACUAUGCUCUGGCCGUGGUGUGUCUCCUUCCUGGGCUGCGGGGACAGGCCAACAGCCUGCUCAGUCACACAAUAAGAUUGUCCCUGCCUGAAAGGGCUUGCAAGCUAAGCAGAAGCUGAGCUAACAGAUGGAUACAACAAGCAGCUGGAGCAGGAGGAAACAAUGAGAUGAUGCUGAUCAGCCUGGAAGACAAGGAUUCUCCCCAGCAUAGAGGAAUCCUUGGCUGAGGUAAAAGUUCCAUAGCUGUAUUACUGAUGGAGCACCUAAUGAACCCCAGAGGUGUUGCACGCUUAAUUAAAGCUGGAGAGACCACCUCUGCAUCCAAGGGAUGCAGCUCGGAAGCAAAGCAAACUGCAUCCCCACCAGCUAGAAAAUACUGCAAGAGAAAUGAACUCCUCCUCCUCCAGAGGCUUGCUGCAGAGAAUCCGUGGCAAUAAGCGAAGACGACAGGGAUGAAGAGCACCAAUAAUGUCAUCGUCCCAAUGUUUAGCCCGGCUUGGUAGUAUUUAUAAUUGAUUUGUUGCAAAAGCAAACCCACUCCAGUAUUUCCUUCCCUUAAGUAGUAAUUAAAAUGUAAAUGAAGAGAGAUGUGCAUCCUCCAAAGCCUUGUGUCAAUCUGCCGAGGGAUAUUUCUGCCCUGACCUUUAUCUAAUGCCCUUAUUGGACCAUAACUUUGCAAGCGGUCUGUCUCUCUUACUUUACUGGACUCGGAUGUUUCCCUUCACGGCGAAUAUUGCUCAGUGAUCACGGUUGCUCUUCAUUCGCCCUUUAUUUGAAAAACUGACUUUCUACAUGGUUUAUUGUUCUCGGUAGGUGGGGCUUUUCUCUUCCAGGUGACUUCAUGCCAGUGUCCGUCUGAGUUGGGAAGCUCUGAAAUCUCCAGCUGCAGAUCUUCUCCAGCUUCCUGUGCCACUACCCACAGGCGGUGUGUGCCUACCUCCCCCCGCCCCCCUGCAUAGGAAAUGUGUGUAUAUGAAACUAAAAGCAUGGGCAAAUUGUGAUCUCCCUUACAUUGGCAUUACUCACUCCC